rnacentral:lncRNA from 1 species
CUUGCAGCUGUGCUCCACAGCAGAAUGUGUUUUAAUGAAUCCUGUGGAAGCCUGUGAAAUCCAAGAAUCCUUUCUUCCUUCUUUCUCGUUUGUGUUUGUUGCCUGCAGUUCCAAGCAGGUGGGCUCUCAGUGUCUUGCAAGUGCCACUUAGCAGCAGCAGGUCCAGCCAGGAGGCACAGCACCCUGCAACCUCCAGAAGCACGGUGCGGAGCACAUCCUGGGAUCAAGGUGCCACGGACUGGAAAAUGCUGCUGUGGCGGAGUUCCUGUGUGAAGACAAAACUCCCAGUCGCCCAGAAAUGUGGAGGCAGAAGAGCAGUGACAAGGCAUUGUGAUCAACUUAAAAAAGGAACGCAUGAAGAAUAGCUUUGUUUGCAUUCUGGUAACUGCUGAGGCUUUGGCUGAGGACAGCUUUCAGCUGCACCUGAACUAGGCUGGAUUUGUCUCCUGCUCUCCAUAGGUGUAUGGGAACUGUAUAAUCACAGCCUGACCCUCUGUUUGACCACCUGAGGCGAGUGCUGAGUCAGCUGCAGGGGCACAGGUGAUGGCAGUUUCACCUGAGUGACCGGAAGGGGUGGACCCUGGCUGCAGCCCUGCUAGACCCCAUGUAAGGGCUGACUCCCAAGGAGGAAGGAUCUCUACCUGGAGGUCACCCUUAGUGGAGCCCUUCUGCGCGCCCAGGGUACGGGAAAGCAGUGCGGAGGGAACGUGUGUGGUGAGAUGCUGAGGAGAGAUUGCCUCCCUUGCCCCAGCAGGCUGCUUGUGUCCUGGUGAUGCACGGUGACGAGAAGGCUGCUGUUCUGUGUAUGCCAGAGCAUGAAGCAUGGUCAACAAGCACGGGGUAGCAGCAGCUGGAAACAGGGGAAGCUUCCACAGAGCCCCCCGCUGGAGUCCCAGGGUGAUGAGCUGAAGCUGAUUUGGGCAGCAUGAAACCCGGUGGUUUUCCGGGAUGUGUGCCGUAUAGGGCUCAGGGCUGUCACUGGGGUUGCUUUCACAGGACGCCCCCCAGCCCAGCUCAGGACCCACGGUGAGUCUGUGGGUGACAAAUGUGUCACUGAGAGACAGCAUCAGGGUGGGAAUGCAUGGACCAUAGCGCCCAGGGCAGAGCCAAGCGGUGCUGUGGUUGGGGGGGGGUCAGCCCCAGGGAGAAAGUCUCCCCCACGGAAGAAAUGGAUUGCUUAGCUCCCCACUAAGCUCCCAUUGCCUCCCAGUAUUGUCUAGAGUCUUCUUGUGCAAACUCAGUGCCCCCCAGUGCUGCCUGCGGCCCUCAAUAGCCUCCCAGUGCCCUGCAGUGGGCUUCCCAGUGCCUCCAGUACUGCCCAGUGCCCCCAGCUCAACACACCCACUGCUCGGUCCGUGACCAUCUCCUUCCCCAGGAACAGCACAAGGCAACAGAGACGUUGACAGCAGCGAUGGUGAUGGAGAUGUUGAGAGUGGAGGAGCUCUUGGCUCGCUGCAGCCACCCCAGCAUUCCCGGAGGUG